AGAUGCAACCUGAUAUGGCCAUUGUGAAAGACCACAUGAACAGAAGUUUCGCAUGGAGGCGUGCGGAGGGAAUUUCUGUAGAGGACCUUUUGAAGAAAUUGUUUGCUGAGGUGGACCGCAUUCACCCUACAGCAAUCCCUGUGUAUCCGGGAGAACUUUACAGCUGUGCUUCCUAAGCUUCUAAAUUUGGUCAAGGACACAUCACCACUUAAAAAAUUGUACAUGGAGGCAAGAGAGGAUGCCCUGGCAGAGGAGCAUGCAGCCAUUGACUUCAGGGGUGGAUUUGUCCUCCUGCCUCCCAUCUUCAAGGAGAAGACUGAAAACUUAAUUAUUCUUG